CGCGGCCUAUCAGCUUGUUGGUGGGGUAACGGCUCACCAAGGCAUCGACGGGUAGCUGGUCUGAGAGGACGAUCAGCCACACUGGGACUGAGACACGGCCCAGACUCCUGCGGGAGGCAGCAGUGGGGAAUCUUGCGCAAUGGGCGAAAGCCUGACGCAGCAACGCCGCGUGGGGGAUAAAGGCUCUCGGGUUGUAAACCCCUUUCAUCAGGGACGAAAUUGACGGUACCUGCAGAAGAAGGUCCGGCUAACUACGUGCCAGCAGCCGCGGUAAUACGUAGGGACCAAGCGUUGUCCGGAUUUAUUGGGCGUAAAGAGCUCGUAGGCGGUUUCGUAAGUCGGGUGUGAAAAAUCUGGGCUCAACCCAGUGGAGCACCCGAUACUGCGAUGACUGGAGUCCGGUAGAGGAGUGUGGAAUUUCUGGUGUAGCGGUGAAAUGCGCAGAUAUCAGAAGGAACACCGACAGCGAAGGCAGCACUCUGGGCCGGUACUGACGCUGAGGAGCGAAAGCAUGGGGAGCAAACAGGAUUAGAUACCCUGGUAGUCCAUGCCGUAAACGUUGGGCACUAGGUGUGGGAAGGAGUCAACCCUUUCCGUGCCGUAGCUAACGCAUUAAGUGCCCCGCCUGGGGAGUACGG
rnacentral:rRNA from 1 species